rnacentral:rRNA from 1 species
GACGAACGCUGGCGGUGUGCUUAACACAUGCAAGUCGAACGGUAAGGCCCUUUCGGGGGUACACGAGUGGCGAACGGGUGAGUAACACGUGAGUAACCUGCCCUCAUCUCUGGGAUAACAGUCGGAAACGGUUGCUAAUACUGGAUAUGAGCCUGCAAGGCAUCUUGUGGGUUGGAAAGAUUUUUUGGUUGGGGAUGGACUCGCGGCCUAUCAGCUUGUUGGUGAGGUAGUGGCUCACCAAGGCUUCGACGGGUAGCCGGCCUGAGAGGGCGACCGGCCACAUUGGGACUGAGAUACGGCCCAACCUCCUACGGGAGGCAGCAGUGGGGAAUAUUGCACAAUGGACGGAAGUCUGAUGCAGCAACGCCGCGUGCGGGAUGACGGCCUUCGGGUUGUAAACCGCUUUCAAUUGUGACGAAGCUUUUUGUGACGGUAGCAGUAGAAGAAGCACCGGCUAACUACGU